rnacentral:lncRNA from 1 species
CACUUCCCCAACCCUGGUUUUUUUCUUUUUUUUCGGAGCUGGGGACCAAACCCAGGGCCUUGCGCUUCCUAGGCAAGCGCUCUACCACUGAGCUAAAUCCCCAACCCCUCAACCCUGGUUUUUAUACGUCAUGUCAUGUCAUACAGAAGCACAGUGGCACUGCUGGUUCUUUUUUUUUUUUUUUCCGGAGCUGGGGACCGAACCCAGGGCCUUGCACUUGCUAGGCAAGGCACUGCUGGUUCUUAAAGUUCUAAACUGGGAGCAGUGACCUUUUCCUUAAUUCUGAUGGGCUAGAAUAACCAUAUCUGACUUUUAUGUGUAUGGGUGUUUGGCCUGCAUGUCUGUCUGUGUCCCAUGUGCGUGUCUUGUGCCUGCAGAGGCUAGACGAGGUCAGAUCCCGGGGCCUGGAGUUAGAGGCAGUUAUGAACUGCCUUUUGGGUGUUGGGAAUGGAACUGGGAUCCUCUAGAAGAACAGUCAGUGCUCUCAAGCAGCAAGCCGUCUCUCCAGGCCCAUUUUAAAAGUUUGUUCUUUGCCAAUUUCACACAUGUAUACAAUGUGUCUUGGUCACAUUCCCCCCAAACAUGCCCUCUCCCCUCUUGUCCUCUUCUUCUUUCUGUAAUCCACCACAUCUAAUUAGUGCCGCUGUGUGUGAU